CACAAAAGCCAUUCACAAUCUUAGCAAACCGUUUUCCAUUAUUAGAUAGGCUUUAUAAAGCCUGGAAUGGAAAGGGGUAUUUUAUUUCCUUCGUAGCGAUCCAAUCUUAUUUGGCAAAUUAGGCUUGCUGCUAGUCUUUUGCCCCUUCCCCCCUUUUUAAUUUUAACUGGGAAGUCAGACAAGCUCACAGAAUGUGACAUGAAAUAAAUUAGGAAGGGAGAUGAUCAAAAGGAAAAAAAAUGAAAUUGCACUGGAAUUGUAUAUAGCUAACCAUGUCAUUGACUUAUGCAAGGUGAACAAAUUUUUAAUGUUUUCAGGCUUGGCAUUCUUCUCAAUCAUCUUCUGUGGACUUAAGCAGGUUUAAAACCCAUUCUCUCUUCCUAGAGAAUUAUGGGAAUGGUAGUAGAGUAGAGGAAGGAGAGACGGAGCCCAGGAGAAAUCAGGGAUCUCCAACAAAGUGUCAAAGGUCACAUCCACUCGGGUGAGUUUCAAGCUUCCUUUGCACAGAGGAGUUCGCAUCAGAGGCUGGUGGGACGUCUUCAUCCAUCAUGUAUGAUCUUUUUGGUUUCUGCAUCCCUGAAACCCCACUGGAACUCCUGUUCAUUUAACUGUCAUCUGUGUUUGUGCAUUCAUUUUUUUCCUGCACAAUGAUUAUGAUGAUGAUAAUAAUAAUAAUAAUAAUAAUAAUAAUUUAUUAUUUGUACCCCGCCCAUCUGGCUGGGUUUCCCCAGCCACUCUGGGCGGCUUCCAUAGAAACCAAAAAUACAGUAAAAUAUCACAGAUUAAAAACUUCCCUGAACAGGGCUGCCUUAAGAUGUCUUCUAAAUGUCAGGUAGUUAUUUAUCGCUUUGACAUCUGAUGGGAGGGCGUUCCACAGGGCGGGCGCCACUAUCGAGAAGGCCCUCUGCCUGGUUCCCUGUAGCUUUGCUUCUCGCAAUGAGGGAACCGCCAGAAGGCCCUCGGCGCUGGACCUCAGCGUCCGGGCAGAACGAUGGGGGUGGAGACGCUCCUUCAGGUAUACUGGGCCGAGGCCGUUUAGGGCUUUAAAGGUCAACAUCAGCACUUUGAAUUGUGCUCGGAAGCGUACUGGGAGCCAAUGUAGGUCUUUCAAGACCGGUGUUAUGUGGUCUCGGCAGCCGCCCCCAGUCACCAGUCUAGCUGCCGCAUUCUGGAUUAGUUGUAGUUUCCGAGUCACCUUCAAAGGUAGCCCCACGUAGAGCGCAUUGCAGUAGUCCAAGCGGGAGAUAACUAGAGCAUGCACCACUCUGGCGAGACAGUCCGUGGGCAGGUAGGGUCUCAGCCUGCGUACCAGGUGGAGUUGGUAGACAGCUGCCCUGGAUACAGAAUUGACCUGCGCCUCCAUGGACAGCUGUGAGUCCAAAAUGACUCCCAGGCUGCGCACCUGGUCCUUCAGGGGCACAGUUACCCUAUUCAGGACCAGGGAGUCCUCCACACCAGCCCGCCCCUGUCCCCCAAAAACAAUACUUCUGUCUUGUCAGGAUUCAACUUCAUUCCAUUAGCCACCAUCCAUCCUCCAACCGCCUCCAGGCACUCACACAGGACCUUCACCGCCUUCACUGGUUCUGAUUUGAAAGAGAGGUAGAGCUGGGUAUCAUCUGCAUAUUGAUGGACACACAGUCCAAAUCCCCUGAUGAUCUCUCCCAGCGGCUUCAUAUAGAUGUUAAAAAGCAUGGGGGAGAGGACGGAACCCUGAGGCACCCCAUAAGUGAGGGCCCAGGGGUCUGAACACUCAUCCCCCACCACCACUUUCUGAACACGGCCCAGGAGGAAGGAGAGAAACCACUGUAUAACAGUGCCCCCAGCUCCCAGCCCCUCUAGACGGUGCAGAAGGAUGUUAUGGUUGAUUGUAUCAAAGGCUGCUGAGAGAUCCAGCAGAACCAGGAAACGACUCUCACCUUUGUCCCUAGCUCGCCGGAGAUCAUCAACCAGCGCGACCAAGGCAGUUUCAGUCCCAUGGUGAGGCCUGAAUCCCGAUUGGAAGGGAUCCAAAUGGUCCGCAUCCUCCAGGCAUGCCUGGAGUUAUUCAGCAACCACGCGCUCAAUCACCUUGCCCAAGAAUGGAAGAUUUGAGACUGGGCGAUAGUUGGCCAUACUGGCCGGGUCUAAAGAUGGUUUUUUUAAGAAGCGGUUUAAUGACCGCCUCUUUCAGCGGAUCUGGGAAUGUUCCCUCACAGAGGGAAGCAUUCACCACCCUGCAGAGCCCAUUGCCCAGCCCUUCCCGGCUUGCUUUUAUUAGCCAGGAUGGGCAAGGAUCAAGGAGACAGGUGGUUGGUUUCACGCGUCCAAGCAGCCUGUCCACAUCCUCGGGGGUAAUGGAUUGAAAUUGAUUCCAUGCAACUUGACCAGACAGAGCUCUAGCACUCUCCGGCCAUGCUCCCACGGUGGUGUCUAGCUCCUUCCGAAUAUGAGUGAUUUUAUCUGCAAAAAACUUUGCAAAAUCGUUGCAGGAGAUCUUGGGGUCUUUACAAGGCCCCGGUGGUAAAGGUGGUUCCGUUAAAUUGCGAACCACCUGAAAGAGUCUCCUGCUACUAUUUUCUGCAGAUGCAAUAGAGGCAGUGAAGAAAGUCUUCUUUGCCGUCGCUAUCGCCACUUGGUAGGCUCGACGUUGAGCUCUAACCUGUGUCCGGUCAGAUUCGGAGUGAGUUUUCUGCCACCGAUGCUCUAGCCGUCUCAGCGAUUGUUUCAUUGCCCUCAGCUCCGAAGAAAACCACGGGGCUGUCCGGGCUCCAUGCAAUCGGAGAGGGCGCUUCGGAGCCAGACAGUCGAUAGCCCUGGUCAACUCCUCAUUCCAGCGGGCCACCAGGGAAUCAGCUGAAAGGCCAUCAACAUGGGCUAAAGCAUCCCCUACCACUCUCUGGAAACCAUUUGGAUCCAUUAAGUGGCGGGGAGGACCAUCCGAAUUGGUCCCACCUCCCUGCAGAGGGGAAGGGUCGCGGAGAAGUCCAGUUGCACCAGGAAGUGAUCUGACCAUGGCACUUCUUUUGUUUCACUUUUACUUAGUGUCAGAUCACCCACGUCACUAGAGGUGAACACCAGGUCUAAGGCAUGUCCAUGACGAUGAGUUGGGCCAAACUUAUUUAGGGACAGCCCCAUGGAGGCCAUGCUUUCCACGAUGAUGGACUGUUAGGGUAUGUUCUCAUCACUUAUACUGCAUGCAAAUUUCUUAUUGGAUUGAAGCUGGUUUGGAAAAAAACAAACACAUCAGACCGCAGUAUUUGUCAAGAAACUACAGGAUUGGUAUGGACUGUGGCUAACGUAGUGUGAAUGUAGCUUCAAAAAUUACCAGUGGGAAUGUAGUGGAUGUGGAAUAAGCUGUAAUGCGGACAUACCCACCAGGAGUGAGACCUAGGUCAAGGUCGUGCUGACUAUUAUAGUCAGGUUAAAUAAGUUGGAGUUCUUGUUAUUAAAUAUAUCAAGAAAAAAGCACACCAAGAACUCAGGCCUGAGUUCUUGGUGUGCUUUUUUCUUGGACUAUUAUAGUCAAGCCAGGAGGAGCCUGGGUCUCACUCACUUUUUCUUUCUGUAUCUUUGUUCUGAUAUUCUGUAACCUAUAGUGUUAAUGUUUACUCUUAUUAUAAGCCAUUGUAAGUUUUAUUGUUAAGUCCGUUGCAAAUGGAUAUUUAUGGACUGUGCCAAUCCUGAAUGUACUAGAUUUGUGACAAUUAUGCUUGUUUGCCUUCAGAAGCAAGUAAAGCUCUGCUGGAUGAAGUACAAUUGCCUCUGGUCUAUAUUUUGGGAACUCUGCUACAUGUUUAAGGUUUUUUUUCCUCCCCAGAAGAGGCUGGGAAGACAAGUUUACCUAUGAGAUCACCAUACCCCACAGGUACCCACUCAAAUGCUUUGAUCAGCAGAAUCGGCAUUACUAUAGGUGCCACAUAAUACCUUUUCUGCUUUUUUAAGAAUUUAAUCAUUUAGUGUGGCAGCACCUACACCUGCCUAUUGAUAUCAAGCAGGUGCCUACACUGUAUUAUUGCUGGCCCCUGCUAAAAAAAUUCUUGUUUAGACUAGCCUACCUGGAAAGUUGAUGUGAAUUUUAACCUGUUUUCGUACUUUGACUUUUGUAUGUUUUUAACUGUUGUUGUAAAUUUCUCUUGAUUUUAUUGCUUUAUCUUUUUGUAAAUGGCUUUGUGGUUUUUUUUUCAAGUAGUGUAUACAUUUUAUUUAAUAAAAUAAAUGAAUAAAUAAAUCCACCUAAAGCAUGCUUAUACCACUUCAACAGAAUUGGCUUCCCCCAAAUAAUCCCGGGAACUCUAGUUUGUCAAGAGUGCUGGGAACUCUAGCAACCUAGUACUUUGCCAGAAGUAGGAAACAUAUAAUUGUGACUGUCCCUGGUGAAAAGGGACAGUCGAAGAAUGCAGAUUUUCUUGAUAGACAUGCAUCUGUGGUUUACUUUAAACAGAUUAAAAAAAUGGAGCUGUUAACUGUAUUCCUUAUUCUAACUGGUGUAGCUAAAGGAUAGCCAGGACUUGGACAUCAGCAGACGUACAAUAUGUCCCAAUUUUAUGGGAAAGGGAAAGGGAAAGAAAUGUAAUACUUGGCAGAUGAAAGAAAUGCUAACCAAAACUAUUUUCUAAAAGCAGAACACACAUAGCUAAAUAUGUUGGCUUUAUUAAAGCUUAAGCCAAGCAUUCUAACAAAACAGUAGUGUUAAGUUAGAUGAGACAGAGAAAGAGGCAUUAAGUUCCUUUAAUAAUCUUGUACGGAUUUUUAAGGAUAAGAACAUAUUAUAUGAUAAUCCUUCUGGAUCAGACCAGAGGUCAGUCUAGUCUUGAAUUCUUUUUUCACAUUGGCAAGCAGAUGCUUCUGGAAAAUUCAUAUGCAGAGCAUCUGGAAUUCAGAAAUAUGCUGAUGCAUGGGUAUAAAUGCACAGGGAAAUCUGUAUUUUCCAGGCAGCAAAAUAUUGCAACCUGAGUGCUGCUGGGGAGAACAAAACUUCCACAGAACAGGGGCACGAACUUGAGGGAAAACAUCUGGAUCCUGCAAAACAACAGAUGAAUAACAACUGUGCAGUUGUUGCACAGAAUAUAAUUGUUAGGCUUGGCCCUUAGCCAGGGACAAAACACAAAGUCAGCAGCGCCAUGAGAUGUAUCCAUAGCUGAACUAGUUCAGACUGCAGGCAAGGAGCAGGGGAAUAAGGGCUUGCCAGGUGGAGCCUGUAGCCGAUGACUAAAUAUGUUGGCAAGAGGACCCAUAGCUAUGUGGUAGAACACAUGUUUUGUGUACAGAAAGUCCCGGUUUAAAUUAAAUCUCUGGUAUCUCCAGUGAAAGGUGGGUCCAUGAGGGUAAAUGGGGCCACUGUCCCACCGACUUUAGCAUUCCCCAACCAGGCCCCACCAGUCUGCCUUCCUACUUGCAACCAGCUCAAUGCCUGUCAGCUUCUUCCUGCUGCUGGUGAGACCCAAUAGCGGGUUCAACAGUCAAGAACAGGGGUCAGCAAACUUUUUCAGCAGGGGGCUGGUUCACUGUCCCUCAGACCUGGACUAUAUUUUGAAGGGGGGAAAAAUGAACGAAUUCCUAUGCCCCACAAAUAACCCAGAGAUGCAUUUCAAAUAAAAGCACACGUUCAACUCAUGUAAAACCACCAGGCAGACCCCACAAAUAACCCGGAGAUGCAUUUUAAAUAAAAGGACACAUUCUACUCAUGUAAAAACACGCUGAUUCCUGGACUGUCUGUGGGCUGGAUUGAGGCGGUGAUUGGGCCUGAGAUGGCCCCUGGGCCUUAGUUUGUAUACCCAUGGUCAAGCAGGUGGUUUCUGUACAUGCUGUAGACGGAAGUUAGAGGCAGAUGGGGCUCGUCAGCCUGGGAAGGUAUCCCACCUAGGAGAAGGAAAACUCUGCUCCUAAAGCUCUGCUGCCUUGUGGGAUAUCUUCAGGAAAAGAAAACGCCGAGGAAUAAACCCUAUACAAAUCUGCAGUGGUGUACCAAAGACAGUUGGAUGGCGCCUUGUACGUCUCCUGUCAACUCCUGCAGCUAAGCUGGUGCCUAACAUAUUGCUCUGCUUUCCUUUGCACCAUAUCAGUGAAGCCGAGAGGGAAGUCUUGUCAUCUGAGCAGCCCAGGACCUCUGUUAAGUUGUGGGUGAACAUAUCAGACGACACAGUGAUUCUUCAACCAGCUCUUGUUUAUUCACAGGCCAGAACAGAACUGAAAUGACGGCUUCAGCCAGCCUGCUUAUAUAGAGCUCCACUACAACGCAACGGUAACAACUUUCUGUAACUAUCCAAUCACUGAAUGUCACUUUCAAUUCCUUAUUUGCAUAUGUGGACCUGAGUGAAAAC